rnacentral:lncRNA from 1 species
CCAUUCCUAACUUAAACUACAUGUAAACUACGAUAUUUAAGACAUAAAUACUACAACUUGCUCAGGUGCGUCAAUCGCUUCUUCCGACGAGCUUCCGGCGAACAUCCGAUGAACCCUCGACGAUGCUCCGAUGUACUUCCGGCAAACUCUUGGACUUGCGACGAUCUACUUGGUGAGUUCCAACGAGCUUCUUUGGCAAGCUCCUAGACUUCUCGGAUUUAUUCCCGC